AGUGGUGAUCGUGAUUAUUGGGUCUAAAGGGGUCCGUAGCCGGUUUGGUCAGUCCUCCGGGAAAUCUGAUAGCUCAACUAUUAGGCUUUCGGGGGAUACUGCCAGACUUGGAACCGGGAGAGGUAAGAGGUACUACAGGGGUAGGAGUGAAAUCUUGUAAUCCCUGUGGGACCACCUGUGGCGAAGGCGUCUUACCAGAACGGGUUCGACGGUGAGGGACGAAAGCUGGGGGGCACGAACCGGAUUAGAUACCCGGGUAGUCCCAGCCGUAAACGAUGCUCGCUAGGUGUCAGGCAUGGCGCGACCGUGUCUGGUGCCGCAGGGAAGCCGUGAAGCGAGCCACCUGGGAAGUACGGCCGCAAGGCUGAAACUUAAAGGAAUUGGCGGGGGAGCACAACAACGGGUGGAGCCCUGCGGUUUAAUUGGACUCAACGCCGGACAACUCACCGGGGGCGACAGCAAUAUGUAGGCCAAGCUGAAGACUUUGCCUGAAUCGCUGAGAGGAGGUGCAUGG
rnacentral:rRNA from 1 species